rnacentral:rRNA from 1 species
CCUACGGUGGGCAGCAGUGGGGAAUAUUGGACAAUGGGGGGAACCCUGAUCCAGCCAUGCCGCGUGUGUGAAGAAGGCCCUCGGGUUGUAAAGCACUUUCAGUGAGGAAGAACGCCUGGUGGUUAAUACCCAUCAGGAAAGACAUCACUCACAGAAGAAGCACCGGCUAACUCCGUGCCAGCAGCCGCGGUAAUACGGAGGGUGCGAGCGUUAAUCGGAAUUACUGGGCGUAAAGCGCGCGUAGGUGGCUUGAUAAGCCGGUUGUGAAAGCCCCGGGCUCAACCUGGGAACGGCAUCCGGAACUGUCAAGCUAGAGUGCAGGAGAGGAAGGUAGAAUUCCCGGUGUAGCGGUGAAAUGCGUAGAGAUCGGGAGGAAUACCAGUGGCGAAGGCGGCCUUCUGGACUGACACUGACACUGAGGUGCGAAAGCGUGGGUAGCAAACAGGAUUAGAUACCCUGGUAGUC